AACUAAAAACAAUGAAACCCUAAAAAUUCAGCGUUCAUCUUCUCGAUCGAACCUUAAAAGCUAAGGCGCCGUCAGCUUCAUCUUCUCGAUCGAACCCAGCCUUAGCGUCAUUCAUCCAUCUUCGAUCGAACCCAGCCUUGUCUUGUGAAAGUUCAUAUCACUCCGUUGGCAUUCACUCUCGCUCGCAAGGCCUCCAUCGGCACUCACUCUCUCUCUCGCUCAAACCUUACCUCCGUCGACGCUGACUCAAUCGUCGCUGCCUCUCCCUCAAUCGUCGUUCCUCCCUCAAUCGGUGCUCAACCCUUAUCGUAACACAAGAAGAACAAGGAAAUGUUACCGGAGAACUUCAAAGAACAGCAUGCUUUGUCUGUGAGAAGCAUCCAGUGGAGCUAUGCAAUAUUCUGGUUUACUUCAUCUACCCAACCCAUCAGGGUGUUGAGUUGGGGGGAAGGAUAUUACAAUGGAGACAUUAAGACAAGGAAGACAGGUCAAGGAGUGGAACUCAAUUCUGAUCAGAUAGGGUUGCAGCGGAGUGAGCAGCUUCGAGAGUUAUACAAGUCCCUCAAAGCUGUAGAAGCCAGCCCUCAAACCAAAAGGCCUUCGGCAGCACUGUCUCCGAAGGAUCUCACAGAUACAGAAUGGCUAUAAGGGUUGCUGCCAUGAACUGUAUUGAUGGGCUAAGCAUUGGGGGUCGUAUUGCAUGUUCUGGCAAGAAAAAUGCCUUAAGUAUGGGCUGAACAUUCUACAGGGCAUUGAAGGUGAAAACAAGAAUUCAAAGAAAUCGCUGAAUAGGACAAUAAUUGGAGGCAGAGUUCAUAUGGCCAUUCAGGUUCCUCUUCGUCUUCCUGGAAUUCAUAUCCUCAGCCAGCUUAUGGUCAGGGGAGUCAUGCGUAUGAGCCACAACCAACUCCUUAUCCGACAGCGCAACCCUAUUAUGCUCCUCCUCCUCCUACUCAAAAUUGUGGCCAUGAACAAUCUUAUACUAGCGGCGAAGUCACCCGCCCCGACAAUAGAAGGAAGUUAGAGAGGAAGUAUUCGAGAAUUGCUGAUGCUGAUUUAUUUUCAUUAGCUGAUGCUGAUCUGCACUAAUAUCAUGAACUGUGUAAUUGACUUCUGAAUUGCAGGCAUUAUUCAUUUUUUGAGUUAAUCAUUAGGAUUUUAGGAUUAUAAGAGUCAGUAGGUUGUAAAGUAGCUUGUCAUGCUUUGCCCUUAAAACUAUUGGUGAAUGGCUAUCUGUUCAUCUAGCUUCCAGUUGUGGCCGUUGAGUUUCAAUAAACUGAAUACACUGAGGAAAAACAUACAUACUCCUGAUGAAUUUAGAGAUGUAGAUUUGAUGAGCGCAUUUUUUUAAUAUGAUUAAGCAUUACCUAGCUUGUGAUAGUAUUCCCUUGCAUUCUUCAAAUUCCUUUGUCAAUGAUGGUGCUCCUUUCUCUUUUUCUUGUGUAUAUUUUAAGAAAACUGGUGAUUCUGUAACAUUAUUUUAAAUUUUAAUUUUAAUUAACAUUCUAGUAUUUUCCAUGCUUAUAUUUCUAUAUAGGUGACUGAGGCUCUUGCACGGGCAGGCCUUGAGUCUUCUAAUCUUAUUCUUGGUAUCGAUUUUACUAAGAGCAAUGAAUGGACAGGAAAGAAUUCAUUUAAUCGAAAAAGCUUGCAUCACACUGGAAAUGUUCCAAAUCCAUAUGAACAAGCAAUAUCUAUUCUUGAGAAAACAUUGGCUACAUUUGAUGAGGAUAACUUGAUUCCUUGUUUUGGAUUUGGAGAUGCAUCAACACAUGAUCAAGAUGUCUUCAGCUUCUAUCCAGAUGACGGGUUUUGCAAUGGUUUUGAGGAAGUGUUGAGUUGGUAUAGGGAAAUUAUUCCUCAUAUUUGACUUGCAGGUUAUAUUAAUCUUCUGGGAUCUCUGAUGAAUCAUAUUAGGUAUUGUAGUACUGAGCCUAAUCACACUUAUGGAUUUAUUUUAGAUCCCACUUUAUUUGCACCAAUUGUUGAAAUGGCCAUGACAAUUGUUGAGCAGAGUGGAGGCCAGGACCAACGUGGAAUUCUUUUUUUCAUUUUAUUUUAUUUUUCUGUUGAGUAGCAAAUAGUGGUUAUUGAAUAAUGUCUAUAGCAAUUUCUCUUUGAGAAACUGAACUUAUUUGUGGAAUAAUGUCUAUAAAAUAUUGGUGUGCAUCAAAAUUAUUCCCUUCCUAUUGGUA